GAGUGCGAUCAUACCAGUAUUAGUGCACCGGAUCCCAUUAGAACUCCGCAGUUAUACAUGCUUGGGUGGGAGUAGUACAAGGAUAGGUGACCUCCUGGGAAGUCCUCGUGUUGCACCCC
rfam:Populus trichocarpa scaffold_1006_contig_1, whole genome shotgun sequence.